UACGGAGGGUGCAAGCGUUAAUCGGAAUUACUGGGCGUAAAGCGUGCGCAGGCGGUUCGCUAAGACCGAUGUGAAAUCCCCGGGCUUAACCUGGGAACUGCAUUGGUGACUGGCGGGCUAGAGUAUGGCAGAGGGGGGUAGAAUUCCACGUGUAGCAGUGAAAUGCGUAGAGAUGUGGAGGAAUACCGAUGGCGAAGGCAGCCCCCUGGGCCAAUACUGACGCUCAUGCACGAAAGCGUGGGGAGCAAACAGG
rnacentral:rRNA from 1 species